UUUACUAUUGGAGCGGUUAGUGGCGGACUGGUGAGUAACACGUAAGCAACCUGCCUAUCAGAGGGGAACAACAGUUAGAAAUGACUGCUAAUACCGCAUAUGCCUUGAGUAUCGCAUGGUACAAGAGGGAAAGAAGCAAUUCGCUGAUAGAUGGGCUUGCGUCUGAUUAGCUAGUUGGUGGGGUAACGGCCUACCAAGGCGACGAUCAGUAGCCGAACUGAGAGGUUGAACGGCCACAUUGGGACUGAGAUACGGCCCAGACUCC
rnacentral:rRNA from 1 species